rnacentral:pre_miRNA from 1 species
CAUGUACUCCCUCUGUCCAGAAAUACUUGUCAUUAAAAUGGAUAAAAGGAGAUGUAUCUAGAUGUAUUUUAGUUCUAGAUACAUCUCUUUUCAUCCAUUUUGAUGACAAGUAUUUCCGGACGGAGGGAGUAUCAA